ensembl:lncRNA
AAUUAAACAAUCUUUCAAUCUGUAAGUAAUCUGCCACGUCCGGGUAUUAAGCGCCUGUGACUCUGGGUACUGACAGCACGCAUGGAAUAACAAGGGUUAACAUAUAUGGAGGUAUCCUUCACCCUUAUCUUUGUGGAAUGUGUGAGCUUAUCUUCUGUGCUAGGCACGAGCAGGCAGGAGAAGACACUGGUGUUAUUGUUGUUCGGUGCUGGAAAGACAAGUUCAUAUGAAAAUGAUCAGCAGUGUUUGUCUUUAUAUUGUCGCUACCAGUAUUUUACAGUGCAUCCGGAAAGUAUUCAGGGCGUAUUCUUUGUUUUUCAUGGCUGCUUACUAAGGGCAGAUGACACAUUUUGUUGUGACAUUUUGUUUGUUUUGACAUCGUGAGUAAAUGUUUCACUUUCAGGCUUGAACAUGUCUACAGUGGCUUAUGGUUGUUUGUUUUUACAGAUCAGGAAAGGAAAUUCGCUGAGCAAAUUUGGUGUAAAGACGAAACUGAAGAAAAGCUGCACCAGUUCAAGGAUUGAUGUGAAGAAAGAGUUGGAUGAUGAAAUUUAUUCAGACGCUUUGUGAUGGAAAUAACUUCCACGACAUUUACAACAAGCGUUACUGUGAGGGGACUGAAUGUUGGUAUCUGGGAUUUGGAGCCAUGAUCAGCUGGACUCAGGAAAACCAAGUAAAACACAAAGAAGUGCACACGCGAGUCACCCUGCUGACGAAAAUGAUCCGUUUUUGGACUUUUUAUGAUUUGGGGUUUUGAUCAAGAAAGCAAAUUCGCUGCACAGAGGUGUGAAGAGGAAACUGAAGAAAAUUUACACCAGUUCAACAAGUAUGACAACAGUUUAAGACAAGUGAAGAUCCUUGAAAUGGGACAGAGAAACUCUUCUAAAGAGAAGCCCUACCAGUGUGAAGAGUGUGGGAAGAGUUUUACACGAGCAUCACUGCUUAGAAGACACAAGAGGACACAUACUGGAGAAAAGCCCUACCAGUGUGAAGAGUGUGGGAAGAGUUUUACACGAGCAUCACUGCUUAGAAGACACAAGAGGACACAUACUGGAGAGAAGCCCUACCAGUGUGUACAAUGUGGGAAGAGUUUUGCAGAAGCAUCAAACCUUAUAACACACAAGAGGACACAUACUGGAGAGAAACCCUACCAGUGUGUACAAUGUGGCAAGAGUUUUACACAAGCAGGAUCCCUUAAUAAACACAAGAGGACACAUACUGGAGAAAAGCCCUACAAGUGUGAAGAAUGUGGGAAGAGUUUUUCAGAUGCAUCAUACUUUAAAAGACACAAGAGGACACAUCCUGCAAAUAUGUACCAGUGCACUCUUUGCUCUAAAUGCUUUAGAACAUUAGAUCAACUCAAACAUCAUCAACAUUUACAUACUGAAGAACAGGCCGACAAGCGUACAGAGAAGAAAUUGAAGAAAUCAGAUAUCAUCACACCUGCGAAUUUGGUUGAAACAGUGGAAGUAACAGUGAAGGAUGAGAAGCAGGACUUGGAUGAUGUGAUUCAUUUAGAUCAAGAAAGGAAAUUCGCUGAGCAAAUUUGGUGUAAAGAGGAAAAUGAAGAAAAGUUGCACCAGUUCAACAAUUAUAACAACAGUUUAAGACAAGUGAAGAUCCUUGAAACACAACAGAGAAACUAUUCGAAAGAGAAGCCUUACCAGUGUGAAGAAUGUGGGAAAAGUUUUGCAGAUACAUCAAGACACAAGAGGACACAUACUGGAGAAAAGCCCUACCAGUGUGAAGAGUGUGGGAAGAGUUUUACACGAGCAUCACUGCUUAGAAGACACAAGAGGACACAUACUGGAGAGAAGCCCUACCAGUGUGUACAAUGUGGGAAGAGUUUUGCAGAAGCAUCAAACCUUAUAACACACAAGAGGACACAUACUGGAGAGAAACCCUACCAGUGUGUACAAUGUGGCAAGAGUUUUACACAAGCAGGAUCCCUUAAUAAACACAAGAGGACACAUACUGGAGAAAAGCCCUACAAGUGUGAAGAAUGUGGGAAGAGUUUUUCAGAUGCAUCAUACUUUAAAAGACACAAGAGGACACAUCCUGCAAAUAUGUACCAGUGCACUCUUUGCUCUAAAUGCUUUAGAACAUUAGAUCAACUCAAACAUCAUCAACAUUUACAUACUGAAGAACAGGCCGACAAGCGUACAGAGAAGAAAUUGAAGAAAUCAGAUAUCAUCACACCUGCGAAUUUGGUUGAAACAGUGGAAGUAACAGUGAAGGAUGAGAAGCAGGACUUGGAUGAUGUGAUUCAUUUAGAUCAAGAAAGGAAAUUCGCUGAGCAAAUUUGGUGUAAAGAGGAAACUGAAGAAAAGUUGCACCAGUUCAACAAUUAUAACAACAGUUUAAGACAAGUGAAGAUCCUUGAAACACAACAGAGAAACUAUUCGAAAGAGAAGCCUUACCAGUGUGAAGAAUGUGGGAAAAGUUUUGCAGAUACAUCAAGACACAAGAGGACACAUACUGGAGAGAAGCCCAAUCAGUGUGUACAAUGUGGUAAGAGAUAUACACCGGCAUCAUUCAAAUGUAAUCAAAGUUUACCUACCGAUGAUAAACUGUAUAAGUGUAUAGCAUUCGUUAAACUGAAGAAAUUAGAUAUAACCACACCUACACAUUGUGGUAACAUACUGGAACCAACAAGAAUUGAUGUGAAGAAAGAGUCAGAUGAUGAAGUCUAUUCAGAUCAGGAAAGCAAAUUCGCUGUACAGAGGUGUGAAGAGGAAGCUGACGAAAAUGUACACCAGUUCAACAAGUAUGACAACAGUUUAAGACAAGCGAAGAUCCUUGAAACAGGACAGAGAAACUAUUUUAAGGAGAAGCCCUACCAGUGUGAAGAAUGUGGGAAGAGCUUUGCACAAGUAGGAGCCCUUAAAAUGCAUGAGAGGACACAUACUGGAGAGAAGCCCUACCAGUGUGCUCAAUGUGGGAAGAGUUUUGCACAAGCAGGAACCCUUAAACUGCACAUGAGGACACAUACUGGAGAGAAGCCCUACCAGUGUGCUCAAUGUGGGAAGAGUUUUGCAGAAGCAUCGAGCCUUAAAAUACACAAGAGGACACAUACUGGAGAGAAGCCGUACCAGUGUGUACAAUGUGGGAAAAGUUUUGCAGAAGCAUCAAACCUUAUAGCACACAAGAGGACACAUACUGGAGAGAAACCCUACCAGUGUGUACAAUGUGGGAAGAGUUUUACACAAGCAGGAACCCUUAAACUGCACGAGAGGAGACAUACUGGAGAGAAGCCGUACCAGUGUGUACAAUGUGGGAAGAGUUUUACACAAGCAGGAACCCUUAAAAUGCACGAGAGGACACAUACUGGAGAGAAGCCCUACCAGUGUGUACAAUGUGGGAAGAAUUUUGCAGAAGCAGGAACCCUUAAAAGACACAAGAGGACACAUACUGGAGAGAAGCCCUACCAGUGUGUACAAUGUGGGAUGAGAUUUUCAUGUGCCCCAAACCUUAAAAGCCACAAGAGGAUACAUACUGGAGAAAUGCCCAAUCAAGUUGUACAGUGUGAGAGGAGUUUUACACAAGCACCACUCAAAUGUAAUCAACAUUUACAUACUGAUUGAUAAGCUCUAUAAGUUUUUAGCAGUCCUUAAACUGAAGACAUUUGAUAUAACCACACCUAUACACUGUGGUACCAUACAGGUGAGUUUAGUACGAGUAAUUAUUUUUAGAUAGGGAUAAUCACAGACCAAUCUUUGGCCAAUCAUUGUGUCUUCCUGCAUAUUGCAGGUCUCCACUUCCUUGUUCACAGAGAAUCCUCUCUCCACUGUUGCUUGUCCAUGGAACAAGAGAAGAAGUUUCUUGCAAAACUCCCAUAGCUCCUGAUAACGUUGGCUCAAAACGUAAAGGAGAAAUGCAUCCAGUCUACUCUGUGGGUCUGUAGGAGAGAAAGGUCUCACUUCUUGCUCCAACAGAUAAGACCUCACUAAACUGCUGGAUAAUUACAUCACCUGCACAAAAAGGAAGAAAAAUCAUUUUGAUGCAUUUUGACCAUAUACAUACACCAGAUUUAUAUAAAUCUGUUUUGUUUUUAUUUAUCAAUAGACUAAGUUUUCACCAUAGACUGAUCUGCUGUAUUCUCUCCUACCAGCGGAUACUCCUCCUGAUAAAUGCUGUUUUUUCAGAAACCUCUGCACCAGAGUUGUCAUAUUUCUCUGGUACCAGUCUGGGUCAGAAUACAUGCUGCUGGGGUUCAAACAGGCAACCUGCCUAACUGGGGGAUACUUUAAUGGGCUCUUGUCUUGCACUUUCUGAAUGAUGGUGGACAUCAUCUUGAUGCAGUCUUUCCUAUACUCCAGCACUGAGAGCUCCCCUAUCUUUUUUUGUCUCUGAAGUUCCUGAACGCAAUAAGGCUAAGUGACCCAUUAUAACUGCAAACUAUAUUUGCUUCAUCCAUCACUAUUACAUUAAAGGUGAAACCCUACCUUGAGAACUGACUCUCCACACAAGCCUACAGUGACAUCUUUUAGGGGGACCCAGUUAUUCUUGUUGCUGACAUCCAGUUUGACCAACUCCAGUGGACUGAUAUCCUUCAGUAUCUCUCUCUUGACAAAACGUCUCAGUAUACUCUGAAAGAAAAGCAAAAUGUCAUAAAUCAUGCUAAAUAUGUCAAAUAUUAAACAGCUACAACUGAUUUGUGAAUAAUAUGUGGGGGUGUAUAUAAUUCAUAAAUCAUUCAUAUUAAUCAUUAUUAGAUAAAAGGUAUAUACUAACUUGAGGACAGACUAUGUAUAAAUAUACAGACAGAAUUGUACACACACUGAAAUAAAUAUGCACCAUCAACCUGUCCA